rnacentral:rRNA from 1 species
UUUAAGUCUAACCUGCCCACUGAAAUUUUUAAAUGGCCGCAGUAUUUUAACUGUGCAAAGGUAGCAUAAUCAUUAGUCUUUUAAUUGAAGGCUGGAAUGAAUGGUUGGACGAAAUAUUAACUGUUUCAUUAAAAUUUUAUUUAGAAUUUUAUUUUUUAAUCAAAAAGUUAAAAUGAUUUUAAAAGACGAGAAGACCCUAUAAAUCUUUAUAUAAAUUAUAAUUUUUGUUAAUAAGAUAAAUUUUAUAAUAAUUAUAAUUUAUAUUUUAUUGGGGUGAUAUUAAAAUUUAAUAAACUUUUAAUUUAAAAAUUACAUUAAUUUAUGAAUUAUUGAUCCAUUAAUAAUGAUUAAAAAAUUAAGUUACUUUAGGGAUAACAGCGUAAUUUUUUUGGAGAGUUCUUAUCGAUAAAAAAGAUUGCGACCUCGAUGUUGGAUUAAGAUAUAAUUUUGGGUGUAGCCGUUCAAAUUUUAAGUCUGUUCGACUUUUAAAUUCUUACAUGAUCUGAGUUCAAACCGGUGUAAGCCAGGUUGGUUUCUAUCUUUAAAAAAUUAUAAUAUUUUAGUACGAAAGGAUUAAAUAUUAAAAUUAUUUAUUUUUAAUAAGAAUAUAAUUAAUUU